UGGGGAGCACCGCUUCGCCACGUGAUCGGCAGCGCGCCCGGAGUGAUCCGGCUGCGGGCCAGGGUCUGGGAAGGGGGUGGUGGGUCGCCGUUUCAUCAGAAGCCGGAGGACGGGCGCCAGGGGGCAACUUCCUACAGGAGGGCGUCCCGUUAGAAUGACAGGGCUUUUGCAAAAGUCUGACACCCGUGGCACAGAGCGCCCCAGAUAUGGAGGGUUUCACAGUUGACUCUUGAACAAUGUGGGGGCUUGGGGCACCAACCCCCUGUGCAGUUGAAAAUCGACAUAUAACUUUGACUCGCCAAAAACUUCACUACAAUAGCCUGCUGCCAACCUGAAGUCUUACCAAUAACAUCAACAGUCAAUUAAACAUAUUACUAGGCUGAAAAGGAGAAGGAAGUGAAGGGGUUGGUCUUGCCGUCUCACGAGUGGCAGAGGCAGGAGAAAAUCCAAAUGAGAAAACGAAUACAGCAGGGAUGACUUCCACCAGCUCCACUUUGCAGCUCUGAGGUGUAUUAAAAAUAAACCUAGAGCCCCACCAAAUGAAUCCGCUGGCACGUGGACCUCAGAUGGGGGAAACUGAGGACUGAAUUCUGACCACCCUCCUUUGUUCUAAAUUUCUUCCUGAAGGACCUGGAAGAAGUCAUGCCACGGGCCAGACCUUAACAUUCCUUUCGGCUUACCCCAGGAUUUCAGACGAAGCUUCACUUUCCUAACCAGUCACAAAUCAGAGAAUUUUUGAUUCCACCUAUGACCUGUGAGCUCCUGCUUCAAGAUAUUCCACCUUUUUUAGGCCAAACCAAUGUAUAACCUCCAAGUGUCGAUUUACACUUUCGACUGUAACUUCUGCUUUCCUGAGAUUUACCCCUGCCUUUAAAAACCCUUGCUUGUAAUCCCUCAGGGAGGCCGUGUAUUUAUUAAUCAUGAGCUGCCCAAUUCUCCUUGCUUGGUGCCCUGCAAAUAAACACCCUCUUUUCUCCCA
rnacentral:sRNA from 1 species